GACGAACGCUGGCGGCGUGCCUAAUACAUGCAAGUAGAACGCACAGUUUAUACCGUAGCUUGCUACACCAUAGACUGUGAGUUGCGAACGGGUGAGUAACGCGUAGGUAACCUGCCUGGUAGCGGGUGAUAACUAUUGGAAACGAUAGCUAAUACCGCAUAAUAUUGAUUAUUGCAUGAUAAUUGAUUGAAAGAUGCUAUUGCAUCACUACCAGAUGGCCCUGCGUUGUAUUAGCUAGUAGGUGAGGUAACGGCUCACCUAGGCGACGAUACAUAGCCGACCUGAGAGGGUGAUCGGCCACACUGGGACUGGGACAAGGGUCAAACUCCUACGGGAAGCAGCAAUAGGGGAUCUUCGGCAAAGGAGGAAAAGCUGACCGGGCAACGCCGCGGGGGUGAAGGAGGUUUUCGGAUCGUAAAGCUCUGUUGUAAGGGAAGAACGGGUGGGAGAGUGGAAAGUGCACGCUGUGACGGUAUCUUACCAGAAAGGGACGGCUAACUACGUG
rnacentral:rRNA from 1 species